rnacentral:ncRNA from 1 species
AGCCUUUUCAUUAACCAUUACCAAUCUUACACAUGCAAGCCUCUCACUUACACCGAAAACGCCCUACGCCGCUUUAUAGGAAUAGGAACUGGKAUCAGGCACAACACUUACCCCACAACACCUAGCCCCGCCACGCCCAUUAGGGUAUUCAGCAGUGAUAAGUAUUGAUAAUAAGCGUCAGCUUGAAUCAGUUAUGGUAAAGAGAGCCGGCAAAUCCGGUGCCAGCCGCCGCGGUUACACCAUUAGGCCCAAGUUAAUGCACAUCGGCGUUAAGCGUGAUUAGGGUGAUACACUGAUUAGAAUUCAACCCCAGCUUAGUUGUGAUACACUUGCCACGAGGAAACCCAAAACGAAAGUUAUUCUAACUAACCCACCUGACCCCACGACAGCUAAGAUACAAACUGGGAUUAGAUACCCCACUAUGCCUAGCCGUAAAACAUACACUCACACCACCAAUCGCCAGGGAAUUACGAGCCCAAACUUAAAACCCAAAGGACUUGACGGUGUCCCACCCACCUAGAGGAGCCUGUUCUAUAAUCGAUACCCCCCGAUAAACCUCACCACUUCUAGCCUAUCAGCCUGUAUACCUCCGUCGUAAGCUUACCAUGUGAAUGAAACUAGUGAGCCAAAGGAUCCACCACCAAUACGUCAGGUCAAGGUGCAGCUUACGAACUGGAAAGAAAUGGGCUACAAUUUCUAUAAUAGAACAAACGAAAGACUACAUGAAACACAGUCGCUGAAGGCGGAUUUAGUAGUAAAAAGAAUAUAGAGAGUUCUUUUAACAAGGCACUGGGACGCGUACACACCGCCCGUCACCCUCUUCAAAUGC